GGAAAGGCUCGUAGCUCAGCGGUAGAGCACGUGUUUUUGCAUACAGAAAAUCCCAGGUUCAAUCCGUGGCAUUUCCA